rnacentral:rRNA from 1 species
UUCGGAGGUACUCGAGUGGCGAACGGGUGAGUAACACGUGGGCAAUCUGCCCUGCACUUCGGGAUAAGCCUGGGAAACUGGGUCUAAUACUGGAUAGGACCUCAAGACGCAUGUCUUCUGGUGGAAAGCUUUUGCGGUGUGGGAUGGGCCCGCGGCCUAUCAGCUUGUUGGUGGGGUGACGGCCUACCAAGGCGACGACGGGUAGCCGGCCUGAGAANGGGUGUCCGGCCACACUGGGACUGAGAUACGGCCCAGACUCCUACGGGAGGCAGCAGUGGGGAAUAUUGCACAAUGGGCGCAAGCCUGAUGCAGCGACGCCGCGUGGGGGAUGACGGCCUUCGGGUUGUAAACCUCUUUCACCAUCGACGAAGGUCCGGGUUUUCUCGGAUUGACGGUAGGUGGAGAAGAAGCACCGGCCAACUACGUGCCAGCAGCCGCGGUAAUACGUAGGGUGCGAGCGUUGUCCGGAAUUACUGGGCGUAAAGAGCUCGUAGGUGGUUUGUCGCGUUGUUCGUGAAAUCUCACGGCUUAACUGUGAGCGUGCGGGCGAUACGGGCAGACUAGAGUACUGCAGGGGAGACUGGAAUUCCUGGUGUAGCGGUGGAAUGCGCAGAUAUCAGGAGGAACACCGGUGGCGAAGGCGGGUCUCUGGGCAGUAACUGACGCUGAGGAGCGAAAGCGUGGGGAGCGAACAGGAUUAGAUACCCUGGUAGUCCACGCCGUAAACGGUGGGUACUAGGUGUGGGUUUCCUUCCUUGGGAUCCGUGCCGUAGCUAACGCAUUAAGUACCCCGCCUGGGGAGUACGGCCGCAAGGCUAAAACUCAAAGGAAUUGACGGGGGCCCGCACAAGCGGCGGAGCAUGUGGAUUAAUUCGAUGCAACGCGAAGAACCUUACCUGGGUUUGACAUGCACAGGACGCGUCUAGAGAUAGGCGUUCCCUUGUGGCCUGUGUGCAGGUGGUGCAUGGCUGUCGUCAGCUCGUGUCGUGAGAUGUUGGGUUAAGUCCCGCAACGAGCGCAACCCUUGUCUCAUGUUGCCAGCGGGUAAUGCCGGGGACUCGUGAGAGACUGCCGGGGUCAACUCGGAGGAAGGUGGGGAUGACGUCAAGUCAUCAUGCCCCUUAUGUCCAGGGCUUCACACAUGCUACAAUGGCCGGUACAAAGGGCUGCGAUGCCGUAAGGUUAAGCGAAUCCUUUUAAAGCCGGUCUCAGUUCGGAUUGGGGUCUGCAACUCGACCCCAUGAAGUCGGAGUCGCUAGUAAUCGCAGAUCAGCAACGCUGCGGUGAAUACGUUCCCGGGCCUUGUACACACCGCCCGUCACGUCAUGAAAGUCGGUAACACCCGAAGCCA